rnacentral:rRNA from 1 species
AGCGAACGCUGGCGGCAUGCCUAACACAUGCAAGUCGCACGGGGGGGCUUCGGCCUCCCAGUGGCGGACGGGUGAGGAACGCGUAGGGACCUGUCGAGGGGUGGGGGAUAACCGCGGGAAACUGCGGCUAAUACCGCAUGACGCCGCGGCGUGACAGCCGGGGCCAAAGGCGAAAGCCGCCCGCCGAGGGGCCUGCGUCCGAUUAGCUGGUUGGCGGGGUAGCGGCCCACCAAGGCGUCGAUCGGUAGCUGGUCAGAGAGGGUGAUCAGCCACACCGGGACUGAGACACGGCCCGGACUCCUACGGGAGGCAGCAGUGGGGAAUAUUGGACAAUGGGCGCAAGCCUGAUCCAGCAAUGCCGCGUGGGUGAAGAAGGUCUUCGGAUUGUAAAGCCCUUUCGGCGGGGACGAUGGUGACGGUACCCGCAGAAGAAGCCCCGGCUAACUUCGUG